rnacentral:rRNA from 1 species
UUUGGUGAUUAUAGCCAGGGUGAAACACCUCUUCCCAUUCCGAACAGAGAAGUUAAGACCUUGUACGCCGAUGGUACUGCAUGCGCAGGUGUGUGGAAGAGUAGGUAGUUGCCAAAA